rnacentral:rRNA from 1 species
AACGAACGCUGGCGGCGUGCCUAACACAUGCAAGUCGAGCGCGAAAGUUCCUUCGGGGAUGAGUAGAGCGGCGGACGGGUGAGUAAUACAUAGGUAAUCUACCUUCGAGUUUGGGAUAACCCCGCGAAAGUGGGGCUAAUACCGGAUAAGACCACGUAAUUUAUGUUACGGGGUAAAAGGUGGCUUGUUUUUUAAAUGAGCUAUCACUUGAUGAUGAGCCUAUGGCCUAUCAGCUUGUUGGCGGGGUAAGAGCCCACCAAGGCUAUGACGGGUAGCUGGUCUGAGAGGACGACCAGCCACACUGGGACUGAGACACGGCCCAGACUCCUACGGGAGGCAGCAGUGGGGAAUAUUGGGCAAUGGGCGAAAGCCUGACCCAGCGACGCCGCGUGGGUGAUGAAG